rnacentral:rRNA from 1 species
AACGAACGCUGGCGGCAUGCCUAACACAUGCAAGUCGAACGAAACCUUUGGGUCUCGUUGCGCAAGUGUGCGUAACGCGUUGGAAAAUGGCCUUGGGAUCGGAAUAACAGUGGGACAUUGCUGCUAAUACCGGCUGAUGUCUUCGGACCAAGUAUUUAUCGCCCAGGAAUGAGCCCGCGUAGGAUUAGCUCGUUGUUGGGGUAAUGGCUUACCAGGGCGAGGAGCCUUAGCUGGUCUGUGAGGAUGAGCAGCGACACUGGGACUGAGAGACGGCACAGACUCGUAAGGGAGGAAGCAGGGGGGAAUAUUGGAGAAGGGGCGCAAGGCGGAGGAAGCAGGGCCGCGGGAGUGAUGAAGGUCUUAGGGUCGUAAAGCUCUUUUAGUAGGGAGGGUAAUGACAGUAGCGGGAGAAUAAGCACCGGCUAACUACGUG